GCUAAGACUGGAUAGGAAACAGAAACAUCUUUUUGUUUUUAAAAGACCUUCUUCGGAGGGUAUGCUUAAAGAGGGGCUUGCGCCACAUUAGUUAGUUGGUGAGGUAAAGGCUUACCAAGAUUAUGAUGUGUAGCUGGACUGAGAGGUUGAACAGCCACAUUGGGACUGAGACACGGCCCAAACUCCUACGGGAGGCAGCAGUAGGGAAUUUUCGGCAAUGGAGGAAACUCUGACCGAGCGACGCCGCGUGAACGAUGAAGUAUUUCGGUAUGUAAAGUUCUUUUAUUGAAGAAGAAAAAAUAGUGGAAAAACUAUAUUGACGUUAUUCAAUGAAUAAGCCCCGGCUAACUAUGUGCCAGCAGCCGCGGUAAGACAUAGGGGGCGAGCGUUAUCCGGAAUUAUUGGGCGUAAAGGGUGCGUAGGCGGUUAGAUAAGUCUAUAAUUUAAUUUCAGUGCUUAACGCUGUCUUGUUAUAGAAACUGUCUUGACUAGAGUGAGAUAGAGGCAAGCGGAAUUCCAUGUGUAGCGGUAAAAUGUGUAAAUAUAUGGAGGAACACCAGAAGCGUAGGCGGCUUGCUGGGUCUUUACUGACGCUGAGGCACGAAAGCGUGGGGAGCAAACAGGAUUAGAUACCCUGGUAGUCCACGCUGUAAACGAUGAGUACUAAGUGUCGGGGAAACUCGGUACUGAAGUUAACACAUUAAGUACUCCGCCUGAGUAGUACGUACGCAAGUAUGAAACUUAAAGGAAUUGACGGGACUCCGCACAAGCGGUGGAUCAUGUUGUUUAAUUCGAAGAUACACGAAAAACCUUACCAGGUCUUGACAUACUCUGCAAAGCUAUAGAAAUAUAGUGGAGGUUAUCAGGGAUACAGGUGGUGCAUGGUUGUCGUCAGUUCGUGUCGUGAGAUGUUAGGUUAAGUCCUAAAACGAACGCAACCCCUGUCGUUAGUUGCCAGCACGUAAUGGUGGGGACUUUAGCGAGACUGCCAAUUAAACAUUGGAGGAAGGUGGGGAUAACGUCAAAUCAUCAUGCCCCUUAUGAUCUGGGCUACAAACGUGAUACAAUGGCUAUUACAAAGAGUAGCUGAAACGCGAGUUUUUAGCCAAUCUCAAAAAGGUAGUCUCAGUACGGAUUGAAGUCUGCAACUCGACUUCAUGAAGCUGGAAUCGCUAGUAAUCGCGAAUCUGCAUGUCGCGGUGAAUACGUUCUCGGGGUUUGUA
rnacentral:rRNA from 1 species